rnacentral:rRNA from 1 species
GAGCUCGCACAAGUGGUGGAGCAUGUGGUUUAAUUCGAUACAACGCGCAAAACCUUACCAGCCCUUGACAUACAAGAGAAUCUUUCCAAAAAAGAAAGCAAAUACCUUGUACAGGCGCUGCAUGGCUGUCGGAAGCUCGUGCCGUGAGGUGUGAGGUUAAGUCCUCGAACGAGCGAAACCCUUAUGGUGUAUUACAAACGCAAUUCGUUGCUUACACCACACUGCCGGUGAUAUACUGGAGGAAGGUGAGGAUGACGUCAAGUCCGCAUGGCCCUUAUGGGCUGGGCUACACACGUGCUACAAUGGCAAUGACAAAAGGAAGCAAUGAUGAGAGUCGGAGCAAAACCCAAAACCUUGCCAUGUUCGGAUUGUUCUCUGCAACUCGGGAACAUGAAGGUGGAAUCACUAGUAAUCG